rnacentral:misc_RNA from 1 species
UCUUUUCUUUUUUGAACGUUGGUGAUGAUUUUUGUCGUGUCCUUCCAGCCUCGGUGGCUUCGGUGGGACAUAAUUCUGUCUUUUAUUGCAGUUGGAGCUGAGGCCAUAGCAGCAGCAUAUGAGCAGACUUCUCCAUAUAAGAUGAAAGCUGCAAAAUAUGCAGUGAUUAUGGCUAUUGUUUCUGUCCUUCUAAGCUUUACGGAUCUUGCUUACAAGAAGUGUAUGCUCCUACGAGACAAAAAUAGAAGGCCAGAUGAUAAGUAUCAGUACCAUUACAAGUUACAGUGGGAGUUUGCAGAUUCUUU